UUUGGGGGCAAUAAUAAAUAAACUUAGAGCAAGCAAUAAGUAGAAAAAGUACAGUAGCAGGACGCUGAGGCAGUGGAAGCUAAGAAAAAAUUGAGGCUGUAAAUUAUACAGAGAAGAGACAGAAUUUAGCUGUUAGUCAAGUAGAAAACUGGAUGUAAAGUAAAUGGGAAGAACUGAAGGACGAGCAGGAGGGACUGUUGGAGCUGGGGCUGGAUUAUCAGAGUCGCUGACAGCACUGGACAAUUUUUCAGUUCUUCAUUUAAUCUGUCUGCUUAGCUACUGAGACUGUUU
rnacentral:lncRNA from 1 species